AGACGUCUACAUUAGAUACCCCUGUAGUCCCAGCCGUAAACAAUGUGCGUUAGGUGUGUCGGUAACCACGUGUUACUGAUGCGCCGAAGAGAAAUCGUGAAACGCACCACCUGGGAAGUACGGUCGCAAGGCUGAAACUUAAAGGAAUUGGCGGGGGAGCACCACAACAGGUGGAGCCUGCGGUUUAAUUGGAUUCAACGCCGGACAUCUCACCGGGUAAGACAGCUGAAUGAUUGUCAAUCUGAAGGUUUUACAUGACUAGCUG
rnacentral:rRNA from 1 species